UUCGAAGCAACGCGAAGAACCUUACCAGGUCUUGACAUCCUCUGACAACCCUAGAGAUAGGGCUUUCCCUUCGGGGACAGAGUGACAGGUGGUGCAUGGUUGUCGUCAGCUCGUGUCGUGAGAUGUUGGGUUAAGUCCCGCAACGAGCGCAACCCUUGAUUUUAGUUGCCAGCAUUUAGUUGGGCACUCUAAAGUGACUGCCGGUGCAAGCCGGAGGAAGGUGGGGAUGACGUCAAAUCAUCAUGCCCCUUAUGACCUGGGCUACACACGUGCUACAAUGGAUAGUACAAAGGGUCGCGAAGCCGCGAGGUGGAGCUAAUCCCAUAAAACUAUUCUCAGUUCGGAUUGUAGGCUGCAACUCGCCUACAUGAAGCCGGAAUCGC
rnacentral:rRNA from 1 species